AUUGAACGCUGGCGGCAGGCCUAACACAUGCAAGUCGAACGAGUGGCGGACGGGUGAGUAAUGUAUGGGAAACUGCCUGAUGGAGGGGGAUAACUACUGGAAACGGUAGCUAAUACCGCAUACCCUCGGAUGUGCCCAGAUGGGAUUAGCUGGUUGGUGGGGUAAAGGCUCACCAAGGCGACGAUCCCUAGCUGGUCUGAGAGGAUGACCAGCCAAACUGGACUUGAGAAACGGUCAAGACUCCUACGGGAGGCAGCAGGGGGGAAGAUUGCACAAUGGGCGCAAGCCUGAUGCAGCCAGGCCGCGUGUAUGAAGAAGGCCUUCGGGUUGUAAAGUACUUUCAGCGGGGAGGCGUUACCCGCAGAAGAAGCACCGGCUAACUCCGUGCCAGCCGCCGCGGUAAUAC
rnacentral:rRNA from 1 species